GAAAGAGAGAUUAACUACCCCGUAAUAAAUUGAGUGGCAUCACUUGUAUUUUGAAAGCUACGGCGGUUAUAGAUGGGUAUGCGUCUGAUUAGCUAGUUGGUGAGGUAACGGCUCACCAAGGCGACGAUCAGUAGGGGAUCUGAGAGGACUAACCCCCACACUGGUACUGAGACACGGACCAGACUCCUACGGGAGGCAGCAGUAAGGAAUAUUGGUCAAUGGAGGCAACUCUGAACCAGCCAUGCCGCGUGCAGGAUGACGGCCCUAUGGGUUGUAAACUGCUUUUGUACCAGAGAAAACCUACUCACGUGUGAGUAGCUGAUAGUAUGGUAAGAAUAAGCAUCGGCUAACUUCGUG
rnacentral:rRNA from 1 species